rnacentral:rRNA from 1 species
GGGUUAGUAGGUUGGUCAUGCCACUGGUAUGUACUGGUCUCACUGAUUCCUCCUUCCUGAUGAACUGUAAUGCCAUUAAUUUGGUGUUGCAGGGAAUCUGGACUGUUACUUUGAAAAAAUUAGAGUGUUUAAAGCAAGCUAACGCUUGAAUACAUUAGCAUGGAAUAAUGAAACAGGACGUUUGAUUCUAUUUUGUUGGUUUCUAGGAUUGACGCA